UGCAGGAGUAGUCAUGGGGACCGUUCUACUUGCAGCGAUACUGGGAUCAAUCAUCGGAGAAAAGAUCCUGUAGAGAUGAGGCAGCGUAUUUCCCAUUUCUGAUGUCAGGAUUUGUUCUGUGAAACUGACCUUUAAAGCAGCCUGAAAAUGAGGAACGUGGCACCAGAGAGCAGAUCAGGAAGCGUGAAAUGAUGCAUGAACUUAGCACUAGAAGCUGGUAGAGUUCUCAGACAGAAACACAACCGGUUCCAGUGGCCCGCUGUUCAUGGACUUACAAGCACUUCUGUAUCAAACCUUUUGCAUCUAACGCUACUGUGUGUUCUUUAGCUUACCCAUCCACAAAAUCAGUUUUAUAGACACGUUUUCUUAUCAUGUGGCUCAAUGAGGAGCUGUGUUUCCAUGCUGUGGACCAAGAACGUCAAAUUUGGAAAAAAAGGUUGCUUUGGUAUCAAGGAUAUGUCUCACACCCCUUUUGUGCAACUCCGCUCGGAUCUGGGGAAGCUACCAAGCCUUUGGAAAACUGUGGUCGGCACUCUACUAUGAAGAUUGGUAGUAGGCUAAACGUCCACCUCCCAAAAGCAUGCCCCGGCUGAACACAGGUAGCUGAUAGCCCAGAUUAGCGUCGGAAGGGAGGGGCUGUGAGCUUGUUGCCCCGAGGGCUGCAGUGGGCAAGCUGAACUCUCGCUUACUGCCCGAGCUGCUGCAGAGACACUAGCCACCCAAGAGCAGGGACCUUGACUCUCUCGCCUCCGGAGAUCCACAGUUUAAGACCAGAAGAGAUCAUGAAAUCCUCUGGUUUCUCGAAUUUUAUAGAUAGCUAAGGCUAAGAACUAGUAUUUACCUUAACACAAACAAAACAAACCACUCUUCCUAAAAUGAUACCCAGUUUUGACUUGAAACGUAAUACAAGGAGGCUCUGCCAUUCCCUUCACUACUGUAUGUUAUUUAGCUAACUUCUCAACACAUUUAACGUGUACUUUCUCAACACUGUAUAAUGAUAAUUUCUUAAUAAUAAUGGCAUGUAUAAAAGUCAAGCUUUUUGACAAGACUAGGGUAACUGGAAUUCAUUUCGUUUCCAUUCUUCAAUUAUCUAUUGUGUGAAUCCAUCACUCUUUCUGGACCGACAUCUGACUGCCAGUCUGUAGUUCUCCAGGUCAUCCUGCUUGCACUCCAAUAUUUAUUCAAAACAAACAGCUGGUCAGAGAUCUCAGCCUACUUUUCCAGGACUCUGUUGUUUUGAAACGUAUUUGCAGGGUAUUUUGAACAUACUCUCUAGUUACUAACAGACCGAAAAUUAUUUUACUGUCCUUUAGUGAAAUAAAUAUUUCACUCUGCUCCAUUUAGAACAUAAUAUUUUUAGAAAAACCUUUUCCUUUUUCCUCAUCAUUAUUAAAAGAUUAGCCACCUCCAUCUAGGAAGAAGCCAGUAAUAUUCAGAUAAUAUAAACCAUAUCGAAACUUCUGCUUCACUUUAAAAAGCCCUAUAGCUGAGCCAGCAUGGUAUUUGUCUCUUACCUUUGGCUUCUCUUUUUCUGCACUUAACUAGUUGCCAUUUGCUCUGUAUUAUUUGUUUCUGUCUCGACAGCGACACCGGGCAUCCUUUUAGCAUCCGCUUCCUCACAAGGUCCUUCAGAUUCAUUACAGUUUCCUUUCCAGUUAGUUUUGGUCGUAUUUUCCUUGUGCUUUUGAAAACUACUCUUUCUGAACCCUCAAAUAUGUAAUUUCACUAUUUGGAACUAUCUUUCGGUCAUACUGAAUGUAAGAAAAUUAUGAAGAGGGUCCCUAAACAAUCACAAAUUUCUAGACGAACUGAUCAUUACAUGCUACCUUAAAGUAAGUCCAACCAAAAUGAUCUUGUAUUGGAUGCAGUACUUUUUACGCUAGAAAAUUACAAUUUGCAAUUUUUAGGCUAAUUACAUUUUAGUUUUCUGCAUUUCAUCUACAGCAUAAGCUUCUUGUGCAACCGUAUUUUUUCUUUACGUACUUUGCAGUCAACUGCAAGUAUCACCUUCUUGGGUUUGUUAGUUAGCACACUGAGUGAUACGUAUUCAAGAUCCUUGCAUUAGUUAACUUUAAGGCAGGUGCCAGCAUUUUUAACAUUGCGUCCUGCCAUCCACCUGUUUUAGUCACUCUGUCCUUAAACAGGCUAUAAGCACCAUUUCACAUUCCUAUUUUGUGAAUUGCCCCUAGAGGUUUCAAUAACGUCACUGACAUCAUAUUUUUCCCCAUUAAUGAGAAUUUUCCAUUUAUCUUGCUCAUCACCAAGCCUCAUCACUGACAUAAAAUCAACCGCAAAUCUUGUUUCCAAUUCUCUUGUCAUGUGUGCUUAAGAUUAUCCUAAUACACCAACUUCAAACUGCAUGUAUCUACCUAGGGCACGCUCCUGCCUGCUACGGGCUCCAGCUAGAAAGAUUUGCCCCCCCCCCACCAGCGUCCAUGCAGUCUGCUCUCUUAUGAGACUUUGUUGCAAGGGUUUAGACAAAGAAAUCUGCAGAUUCACUCUAGCCACAAAGCCAACAAUUCACCUCCAAUAUUUUCUUGUGUGGACUUUCUUUCUUCCUUGUCAUUACAUCGUCCUCAAACCUCACAUUCUGCCUGCCCCUCCAUUUCUUUUAAAUAGUUGCACUCAUGAUGUCUGUCAAUUUUCUACUAUCUGAACCAUAAUCACUCACAAAUACCUUAUAGCUGUCUCCUGCAGCUUUCUGCUUUAUCCCUCCACAAACAGGAUCUUUUAUUAUCCAGCUUACUUGAGUAUAUUUACAUGACUUGAUAUUUCUAGACGUGUUGAAUGCCUUCUGAUUUUGGGUUUUGUUUUGUUCUUGGUUUGGUUUCAUUUGGUUUUGGCUACAAAUCAGGUACGUUCUCUUCUGAAUCCUACCUAUUUUUCUCUUUCUUCUGUGUCAUCAGUGGGAUUGACUUACAGUCUGUCAAAAAAGAUACUGUCUUGUGAAUGUUUCCAACAAAGUGUUGGAAGAUUUCAGCAGAAGGAAGGCAGUCUCAUAGUUUGACGACUGAAUCCAUCCUGGAUUUUCCUUCUGCCUUUAGCAAAGGAUUUAAAGGAAACAGGGAGUGGAAUGGAGCAAAAUGGAAGAAACGGCAGUUAGACCAAAAUCUCUCAGAGAAGGUCAUCAAUUUUUGCAGUUUUCCAGAUUCCUAAUUUGAGGGGCUUGAUUCACUGAAGGACUGAACUCUCAAAUGCAGCUCAAGUCAAUGGGAAUUUUUAUUAUACCUAUACAAUGCUAUAAAACUUUACAUUCAUGGAAAAAAUCAGGUUAGAUGUACCUCAAGCCAGUCACCCAAAUUUAACAAGCAAUUCUGAAGUUCAUGACUUAUUUCUCUCUAAAGUGAGCACAGUCAUACCAUCUUACCAAUACAGUAAUGCAAUAUUUAUGAAGGCACAUCAGCGAUCCCAAGGAAAAAAAAAAUCAGGGCAAAACAAAUAAUUACAUAUAAUAAGUUAUUUGAAGGGAGAAACAAAUGAAGGCAUAUGUAAAGAGGAUAAGGUACAGUCACAAUGACUGAGGAAGUUGUUAAAGCAAAACCUUUGUCUACUAUGUUGUUUGCAUUUUAAGCAUGCGAUUAUUUAUUAAAGACUAUCAUAGUUCAUCUGCAGAAGGUACCGGUAUUAAGACAGCGUAACUUCUGAAGUCCCGAGUGACUAACAUAACAAGACUGUUACAUGAAUUUUUUUCUAAAUGCUGUUUCAUAAGGACUCUCUUUGCUUGUUUUGAAGGCAAAUCAAGCACCUUAACUCCUUUACACCAAGAUGUUCUGAAUCUCAUGGUUCCGACAGGAUCAGAACCUUCCAGAGCACAUCUCACUACAAGCAAUUUAUCAUCCCAUAUAUUAGGCUACAGAAUUUUACAAGUGUGUGCUGACUACACUGUCGCACCACCUUUUCCUGAUACAUUAAGAGAUACUAUAACACAGUUAAGAAAAAGUCUCAAAAAUUUUAGUGAACAGCACGUGAUUUUACGCAUGACGUAUUUCCACUCUUGCAAAACGCAAAUUGGUUUUGUCUGAAACGAAAGUCCAACAAAACCCAAAACCUACAAUCUGAAACAUAACCAGUUAAAUUCAAAAAAUUAGCGCCUUGGUAGCUACGAGCAAGUGAAAACAUAAUCUUAUAAUUAAAGGCGCGUUUAGCAUCCUGAAUACAAGGUGCUAUCAGCCCAUUUUAGAGUCGCGAUCAUGUAACAAUAACUUCAGAUGUCAGCAGAGAAGUUGUUACAGUACAGCUCCGCUUCUGGGGGCCUUUAUUCAAACCGACUUGAGGUCAUAUACAAACACAGCAUUUCAAGAAUCAUAUCCCAAAUACUAUCACAACACAAAUCUAGCAGAGACUUUGCCAAUGUUUAGCCAAGUCUGGCAAUAUUUUUGGAAAGGCCUGGGACUGAGCAGCACCCACACAGCUAGUCACAACUAAGGCAUGCAACAACAGAUUGGAGCAGCAGCACAGCAUCACUCUAGUAGUGUCAGGAUCACUACUCCUUUGCUUGAGUACCAACUUCAGUUCCAAGCUUUAAAUACAGUAUUUGAAUACUACUUACAAACUGAUACGUUGUGACUACUCAUAUUCCAACAAUGUCACACCAGGCACAUAACUGUAUUUGGAUUUUAAAAGGCAAUCUGUGAUAUAAUUAAGAGUGAAUUUACUAUAUCAUUUUUAAGAGAAAAUGACUUUUUUUUUUCCUUUCAAGAGUUUGUUCUUUUUUUUUUUUCCUUUUACAUGCAAAAUCUCUUUGCAAGUUAAAAAAGCCCUUUUAAUUUAGUAUGACUUGGGAAAAAUAGCAAUUUUUCUUUUUUUUUAAACUGUGAAAGGUCUGAGCGUUAACUGAUCUAGAUUUGCCUGGGU